rnacentral:rRNA from 1 species
UACGAAGGGUGCAAGCGUUACUCGGAUUUAUUGGGCGUAAAGGGCUCGUAGGCGGUUUGUCGCGUCGGGUGUGAAAUCCACUGGCUUAACUGGUGGCUUGCUUUCGAUACGGGCAGACUGGAGGUAUGCAGGGGAGAGCGGAAUUCCUGGUGUAGCGGUGAAAUGCGCAGAUAUCGGAAGGAACAUCAGUGGCGAAAGCGGCUUCCUGGACCAGCACCGACGUUCAGGCACGAAAGCGUGGGGAGCAAACGGG